rnacentral:rRNA from 1 species
GUACACGCUGUGACUAGCAUAUCAAUAAGCGGAGGAAAAGAAACUAACAAGGAUUCCCCUAGUAACGGCGAGUGAAGCGGGAAGAGCUCAAAUUUGAAAUCUUAAAGGGUUUCCCUUUACGAAUUGUAGUUUAAAGAAGUGUUUUCUGUUGAGGUUUUGGUAAAAGUUCUUUGGAAUAGGACAUCAUAGAGGGUGAGAAUCCCGUAUUUGACCUUUACUUUCAACUUUGUGAUACACUUUCAAGGAGUCGGAUUGUUUGGGAAUGCAGUCCAAAAUGGGUGGUAAAUUUCAUCUAAAGCUAAAUAUUGGCGAGAGACCGAUAGCGAACAAGUACCGUGAGGGAAAGAUGAAAAGAACUUUGAAAAGAGAGGUUAAACAGUACGUGAAAUUGUCAAAAGGGAAGCGUUUGACACCAGUGUUGUUUUUCUGAAGAUCAAUUAAAGAACUGUUUAUGCUAAGCUGUUUAGACUUUAUCAGCUAUCUGUUUAGUUUGGAGCUUUUCUUUAAUGCACUUUUCAGUUAACAAGUCAACAUCAAUUUCUUUUGCUGUAAAAAAGCUUGAGGAAGGUGGCUUGAGAUUCGUCUUAAGUGUUUAUAGCCUCUUGCCUAUGCAGUCGGAGAGAUUGAGGUCUGCAGCGUAGAUCCUUCGGGGCUAAAUGCAUUUGUGCUAAGUUAUAGCAUUUUAUAGACAACUUGUUGACUAUGAUUUGUCUUGUAGCUUACUCGCUUAUGUUAUUUUACCUACGCUUAGGAUGUUGAAGAUGUAGCACAUCAU